rnacentral:rRNA from 1 species
UAGUUCUUUCUUAAAUAUUCUAGCAAAGCCAAGUAAAUCUAAUUUUUAAGAAUUAUUCAAUAAAGGUACAGCUUUAUUGAAAAAGGAAACAACCUAAACCUUAGGAUAAUGAAUAUUUUUAAAUAGGUAAAAGGCCAAGUUGGCCUAAAAGCAGCCAUCUUUAAAGAUAGCGUCAAAGCUUCACCUUAAACACACCUUAAAUCUCAUUAUUUUUUCAUAAUCCAACAAUUCUACUAAGCCAUUCUAUACUUUUAUAGAAAAGUUUAUGUUAGGACUAGUAACACAGAAUAAUUUCUCUUACAUGUAAGUUUAAAUCAACCCGAAUACCUCCUUGAUAAUUACUCAAAUUUGAACCUUAAGUAGUACCUAUUAAUUACAAAAACCCUACUUAACUUAUUGUUAAUCAAACAUAUGGAUAUGAAAGAAAGAUUAAAAAAUUAAGAAGGAACUCGGCAAACACAAGUCCCGCCUGUUUACCAAAAACAUCGCCUUUUGAAAAGUAUAAAAGGUAACGCCUGCCCACUGACAGUAUGUUUAACGGCCGCGGUAUUCUGACCGUGCGAAGGUAGCGUAAUCACUUGUCUUUUAAAUGAAGACUCGUAUGAAAGGCAUCACGAGAACUUAGCUGUCUCCUUAAUUCAAUCAGUGAAACUGAUACCCCUGUAAAAAAGCAGGGAUGAUUACAUAAGACGAGAAGACCCUGUGGAGCUUAAAACAUAAGCUACUUCUAUACUCUACUAACUUAUAGUACUAAAAUACAAACCUAGCCUAAGUUUUCUGUUGGGGCGGCUGUGGAGAAAAACUUAUCCUCCAUGAAGAAAAAACUUUGAUCUACCGCUCUUAGUAUUAGCAAGCCUAACUUAAAUUGAUCCAAUUUUUGAUCAACGGACCAAGUUACCCCAGGGAUAACAGCGCAAUCCAUUUCAAGAGUCCCUAUCGACAAAUGGGUUUACGACCUCGAUGUUGGAUUAGGACAUCCUAGUGGUGUAGCCGCUACUAAUGGUCGUU